GCCUCAUCAGGAGUUCUCCUCAAGCACUUCAGGAUGCGUCUUUGCAAGAACUUCCCUGAAGUGUUUGGGGGAACUCUCGGUGUUAC
rnacentral:pre_miRNA from 1 species